rnacentral:rRNA from 1 species
AUUGAACGCUGGCGGCAGGCUUUACACAUGCAAGUCGAACGGUAACAGGCCGCAAGGUGCCGACGAGUGGCGAACAGGUGAGUAAUGCAUCGGAACGUGCCCAGUCGUGGGGGAUAACGCAGCGAAAGCUGCGCUAAUACCGCAUACGAUCUAUGGAUGAAAGCGGGGGACCGUAAGGCCUCGCGCGAUUGGAGCGGCCGAUGUCAGAUUAGGUAGUUGGUGGGGUAAAGGCUCACCAAGCCAACGAUCUGUAGCUGGUCUGAGAGGACGACCAGCCACACUGGGACUGAGACACGGCCCAGACUCCUACGGGAGGCAGCAGUGGGGAAUUUUGGACAAUGGGCGCAAGCCUGAUUCAGCAAUGCCGCGUGCAGGAAGAAGGCCUUCGGGUUGUAAACUGCUUUUGUACGGAACGAAACGGUCCUGGUUAAUACCUGGGGCUAAUGACGGUACCGUAAGAAUAAGCACCGGCUAACUACGUGCCAGCCGCCGCAGUAACAC